AUUGAACGCUGGCGGCAGGCUUAACACAUGCAAGUCGAGCGGGGGAAAGUACUUCGGUACUGACCUUAGCGGCGGACGGGUGAGUAAUACUUAGGAAUCUGCCUAUUAGUGGGGGACAACAUCUCGAAAGGGAUGCUAAUACCGCAUACGUCCUACGGGAGAAAGCAGGGGAUCUUUAUGACCUUGCGCUAAUAGAUGAGCCUAAGUCGGUUUAGCUAGUUGGUGGGGUAAAGGCCUACCAAGGCGACGAUCUGUAGCGGGUCUGAGAGGAUGAUCCGCCACACUGGGACUGAGACACGGCCCAGACCCCUACGGGAGGCAGCAGUGGGGAAUAUUGGACAAUGGGGGGAACCCUGAUCCAGCCAUGCCGCGUGUGUGAAGAAGGCCUUAUGGUUGUAAAGCACUUUAAGCGAGGAGGAGGCUCUUUUGGUUAAUACCCAAGAUGAGUGGACGUUACUCGCAGAAUAAGCACCGGCUAACUCUGUGCCAGCCGCCGCAGUAA
rnacentral:rRNA from 1 species